AACAAAUCAGCACCUCCUGGUGCAAAGCAACUAACAUGGAAGUAUGGUGGAAAAGGGAUUGGUGAAGCAAGAUGCUGGUGAAGUAACUGUGAAAGGGAAGAGAAUAAACAGUGAGUGUCUUCUGUCUAGUCCCCAUUACCAACAACUUGCCCAAAGUCUCCUAAGAGCUUUGCAGCAGGACGUUUGUAAGAGGAAGCCAGCAGGAUCCAGAAGCCUCUGUGAAGAUGGAAGAAUGGAAGGAAUCCUUUACCUGGUCUUCUGGAGAUCUCAUUAGAUCCUACACAUUUGUGAUGCCCGUUACAAUCCAAGAGCUGCUUCCUUAAAGAAGCGUAGGAACAACAUGGACCCUUUUACAAGGUGA